AUUGAACGCUGGCGGCAGGCUUAACACAUGCAAGUCGAGCGGGGGAGGUUGCUUCGGUAACUGACCUAGCGGCGGACGGGUGAGUAAUGCUUAGGAAUCUGCCUAUUAGUGGGGGACAACAUUCCGAAAGGAAUGCUAAUACCGCAUACGCCCUACGGGGGAAAGCAGGGGAUCUUCGGACCUUGCGCUAAUAGAUGAGCCUAAGUCGGAUUAGCUAGUUGGUGGGGUAAAGGCCUACCAAGGCGACGAUCCGUAGCGGGUCUGAGAGGAUGAUCCGCCACACUGGGACUGUGACACGGCCCAGACUCCUACGGGAGGCAGCAGUGGGGAAUAUUGGACAAUGGGCGGAAGCCUGAUCCAGCCAUGCCGCGUGUGUGAAGAAGGCCUUUUGGUUGUAAAGCACUUUAAGCGAGGAGGAGGCUCUUAAGGUUAAUACCCUUGGUGAGUGGACGUUACUCGCAGAAUAAGCACCGGCUAACUCUGUGCCAGCAGCCGCAGUAAUAC
rnacentral:rRNA from 1 species